rnacentral:lncRNA from 1 species
UGGUUAUUAUCAGAGCCAAGUUCAGGCUUUUUGUAGAGCUGCCUCUGGGGGUUCUCAAGAUACCUACCUCUCUCCUAAAUAUUUCACCUCCUUCUCCUUCUCACAGCCCCCAACAGGAGGAAACCCAGCCUGGGGUCAAGGCCUAGAGGAUCCACAGAGACUUGCAAAUGGGCUACAAGGCACACCGGUGGGAACUGUGGGCCCAGCUUUUCCCAGCUGACCGACACUCAAAUGAUCGUUGCCACCCGCACACUCAGCCAUAUUAAGAUAAGCUGGGGGCUGCAACCAUUUCCAGGGAAGAUCUGCAGGUAAGAGGAAACUUCAUUUUGCCAUGUAGGUAAUAAAUCUUCUGCCUAUUGACUUUUAAAAGUGUAG